AUGACUUCUUAUCAGGCCCCACACCCUACCUCUGACCUGCACUACCGCCACCAUGGACAUCGCCACCUCAAGCCGCCUCCACGCCUUCGAGAGCAGGAUGCGGAAGCACGGCGUCGUCUGCAGCGACGCGCUCCGUCUCGACGCCAGCGAGGCCGAUGGCGUCUACGUGCGUGCGCUCGCCGCGCUCCGGGAGGGCAGCGUUGUUGCCACCAUCCCGCACCGCGCCUGCGUGACGCCGCGCAUGUCCAGGGCCAUGGCAACCAUCAAGGACGCGCAGCUCGGUGGCAUGCUUGCUCUCGCCUUCGCCGUCAUGUACGAGCACGCGCGGGGCGCCAAAUCACCGUGGUACGGCUACCCAUGCUGCUCGUCUAG
rnacentral:rRNA from 1 species